AUAAAAAUUGUGCUCAUCACUUUUAUGCAGAACAUCUCAUACAAUUUAAUGACCCUAGACACAUACCCAAUAUAAAUAAAUAAAUAAAAUGGAUCAUGAGCCACUUGCAUGAACCUUAUUGAAAACCCGAGGUAUGUCGUGAAAAAUAGCCACGGCAUAUCAUAUAGUUCUAUUUCUUGAUUCAUACUCAUGUCUGGAAAAUAGUUUGUUUAGUACUAGCUGUUGCCUAGAGUGAUUAGCCUCACAAUCAUUUCUUUAAAUUCCAUGAUAUAUAUUUAAUUGGCUCUCCUCAAUUACAGGAUCCGUUAUCUUCUUCUUGCUAGAAUGUUACGAUUAAUUAGGCUCUUGAUGCAAGUCCAGCGGUACCGUGCCUUUGUUGCCACGUUUUUUACCCUCAUACCAAGUUUGAUGCCAUUUAUGGGCAUCAUAUUUUGCAUUCUAUGCAUCUAUUGCUCUCUUGGUUUACAGAUAUUUGGUGGUCUAGUCAAUGCUGGGAACCCCAAAUUAGAAGGAACAGAUCGUUCUGAUAAUGACUACCUACUUUUCAAUUUCAAUGACUACCCAAAUGGAAUGGUGACACUUUUCAAUUUACUAAUAAUGGGAAACUGACAAGCCUGGAUGCAGAAUAAAUGCAAAGCGGUAGAGCAACAAAAAAGACUGAUGUUUAUAGUUUUGGGGUUCUGGUUCUUGAAGUAGUGAGUGGAAAGCGACCCACUGAUGCAGCAUUUAUUGAGAAGGGCUUCAACAUUGUUGGCUGGGUA